AAAAAAAAAAAAUGUUCACUUAGUGCAGGGGUCGGGAACCUAUGGCUCGCGAGCUACAUGUGGCUCUUUUGGGAACUGCAUCUGGCUCUCGGACAAACCUGCCAUUUGUUUACUCAAUAAGUCAUGAAUAAUUGUGGUACUGUAUUAAAUUAAAAAUGGACCUACUGUAAUCAAAAUGUUAAAAUAGUGUUCGAAAUAUAAUAUAUGUUCACAUAGUUUAAUCCAUCCCAUGUCUGUUCUUUACUGCUGAAGUUCACGGUUACGUCGAUGUACUGUACAGAUAUGAAAAACUUGUUUUUUUUAUUGGACAAUGCAGUGCCGAGAUAACAUUCCAUCCGCUGAUGCUUUACUUAAAAAUUCAGCUAGCUAACGGUUGUAUCCAAAACAAAGAAAAUGGCGAAGAGAAAAAAAGAUGAACGAGAACACUUUAAUUGUUAUUGUUGAUGUGUGCGCUUGCUGUAGGCUAGAUAAGGAAAAUGUCAUAAAGGAAACGUCAGUGACCACAGCUUGCGAGCGCGAACACAAGCGGGCUGAAAUGGGAAAGUUUCCAUCCGAAGACUGAUUCUGAAAACGCGAAAUGAACUGCCUGUUAUAUAUCGCACACUGCAACGACUUAGUAUUGCUGUGUUAACCCUGUUCAUUUCCACUUGCAUAUGAGAAAUCUUUCUCACACAUGAAAAAUAUAAAGACAAACCUGAGCUCACGUUUAAGGGCAAUUCCGCGCAAAACUGUCACAUCCAUAACGCCAACACAAUG